rnacentral:rRNA from 1 species
GAUGAACGCUGGCGGCGUGCCUAAUACAUGCAAGUCGAGCGAACAGACGAGGAGCUUGCUCCUCUGACGUUAGCGGCGGACGGGUGAGUAACACGUGGAUAACCUACCUAUAAGACUGGGAUAACUUCGGGAAACCGGAGCUAAUACCGGAUAAUAUAUUGAACCGCAUGGUUCAAUAGUGAAAGACGGUAUUGCUGUCACUUAUAGAUGGAUCCGCGCCGCAUUAGCUAGUUGGUAAGGUAACGGCUUACCAAGGCAACGAUGCGUAGCCGACCUGAGAGGGUGAUCGGCCACACUGGAACUGAGACACGGUCCAGACUCCUACGGGAGGCAGCUGUAGGGAAUCUUCCGCAAUGGGCGAAAGCCUGACGGAGCAACGCCGCGUGAGUGAUGAAGGUCUUCGGAUCGUAAAACUCUGUUAUUAGGGAAGAACAAAUGUGUAAGUAACUAUGCACGUCUUGACGGUACCUAAUCAGAAAGCCACGGCUAACUACGUG